rnacentral:rRNA from 1 species
UUGAUUACGUCCCUGCCCUUUGUACACACCGCCCGUCGCUGCCCGGGACUGAGCCAUUUCGAGAAACUUGGGGACCGUGGAUCCGGUGGCUUUCGGGUCGCCGUUUUCGUGGGAACCAAUUUAAUCGCAGUGGCUUGAACCGGGCAAAAGUCGUAACAAGGUAGCUGUAGGUGAACCUGCUGCUGGAUCAUUACAUACCGUGAU